rnacentral:rRNA from 1 species
UACGAAGGGUGCAAGCGUUAAUCGGAAUCACUGGGCGUAAAGCGCACGUAGGCGGCUUUUUAAGUCAGGGGUGAAAUCCUGGAGCUCAACUCCAGAACUGCCUUUGAUACUGAGAGGCUCGAGUCCGGGAGAGGUGAGUGGAACUGCGAGUGUAGAGGUGAAAUUCGUAGAUAUUCGCAAGAACACCAGUGGCGAAGGCGGCAACCUGGUCCUUUACUGACGCUGAGGCGCGAAAGCGUGGGGAGCAAACAGG